GAAAAAGAUCAAGGAACCAGCCUCUUAUCAGAGUACUUCGGCCAGGUCCUGCCCAUUGACGCCCAGAACUGACCGGCUGCGAUGUUCAAAGCUGUUCCCGUUACCGACAGCCAGAGAAAUGCCACUGAGUGGAGCCUCGGCUGGACAACACUUUCGGGGGUACAGGUCAUCCCUGCCGGCCGUCGAAACUGUUCGAAUUGGGCCCUGCACUGCCUAAAGCCGGCCCUGGCUGCAGGGAAUACAUCACCUCUCUCUAUGUGAGAUCGACGCAUGUGUAUCUAUCAUUCUCUAUAGAGAUAGAAAGAGAGUCAGGCAGCCCCCUCGGAGGGAACAGGACUGAACCCAGCAGGGUGGGAGAUUGCCUGGCCCCCAGCCCCAAAUCUUAUUCCAACUGCCCAGCGCUGCUGAGCGCAAGGCCGGGCACCCAGCCACAUCUCGGCAGGCGCUUCAGGGGCUGGGAACACGUGGGGAUUGGAGAAGCAGCACCCAAAGGAUCUGUACGGGCCAGGAGGCGACAGGCGGCAGCUGGGCCUGAGCAGGUUCGUUCCCCAGCG